AUUUACUGUUCUUGAAACUAUAUU
rnacentral:snRNA from 1 species